GGGAAAUUGCUAAAUAGAACCUCUUGGUUUUCAAAUGUGAUAUUGAUCUUGGAAAUGGUAAUAUGGCAUUUUUAUUACCUAAUGAAUUUGUGCAAAGAAAAUGACAAGCAGAGGUUUUCUGUGAUCAUUUUGACAGAUGUUAAGCCCGACUUGCCCUGCUCUCUCAGUUCUGUGGAGGCUCUGAAGGCUGAGACUCAUGCAGGAGUAAUGAAGCCCCAUACAGCUUGGCCCAGGAAAUGAACCCUCUGCCGGGAGCAAGUGGGAGGCAACUUCUCCACCAUUAACUACUGCCCAUUUUCAGUCUCUACAGUAUGAAGCUAGAAUUUAUUAACUAGUGGAACAGAGUGACAGAUGUAAAAAAACAUAUUGUUGGAGACGGUGGUCCAUGCACUUAAGACCUUCCACCCUCUACUCAUGCAAGGGACUUUAGAGCUGCACCCACUUUCACCUGGACUCCAUGAGAAAUGUUCCAGUCUGGCUCCUGGAGUGUGAGGGGGGCUGAUGUUGGUGGAAUGUGACCUAGGCAUGGGGAAUCCAAAGGCCAGAAGUCUUACUGCCUCAGCUUGCUUUCUGGUAGAUCUAAGGCUCAGCGCCGACUCCCUGGGGGGCACACUUUGAGGUUGGGCACCCAGGAUACAUCUAUAUUUCUUCUGGACCCCUUAGAAAAGGGCCUUCUUGUCAUUUUCUCUGCCCUGCCUCAGCUCUAGAGGGGCUCUGUGGCUGUGGGAGGUGGAGCAGAAGAGCAAAGAGGAGAAAUAAAAAGGAAAUUAAUCCAAACUCAUUCUAUGGAUGCUCAAACCACAGUCUCAUCUGGGAAAAGGCACCCACAGAUGAGACGUGGAGGAGGAGCCUUUGGUCAGAGAUCCCCCGGGAGCUCCCUGGGGCUCAGACUCUCUUCUCCACUCCUUCGUCUGAAGACGGCCUGGCUUAAUCCUUAUUUUGGUUAUUUACAAAAUAGUUUGAUAGAAGAAAAUACAUAAGCCACUGUGGGCAGCAUCCAUAAUUCAAAAUCGUCAGAGGAGAGCCCUUGAAGGAUUCUGGAGCCCUUCUCCUCAGCCAGGCAUUUUACAGAACUGCUCAUCGGCUUUCCUGAAUCGCUUUUCCGCACAGCUGGUGCCCUGUUGGUCUGUUUUUCCUGUGCCCUUAACUAGACUUCUCACACAGGAUCCUUCACAUUGGCAAAUGCCCUUGAUUCUUAGAAAUGUAAUCACUUCCUGCUUUUUACUACAAUAAAACCCACAAAGGGGGUCU
rnacentral:lncRNA from 1 species